GCUCCGGUGGCGCAAUUGGUUAGCGCUUUGGUCUUAUGUGCCAAGGGUUGCGGGUUCGAGACCCGCCUGGAGCA